rnacentral:ribozyme from 1 species
UGAAUAAAUCCAAGCUGAAAAUCAAAAGGAAAAAGGUUUCCAAGCCCGAAAAGAAGAAGGAAUAAGUCGCUCUGUUUAAUGAUUCUUAUUCGUCCUUUGACUCGGUUUUUGGAUUCUAUGAUCUAUCUUUUUAAUAU